ACCGUAAUAACUCAGUUGGGAGGGCGUUAGACCAUAGAUAGAAAGGUCCUUGGUUCGAUCCCGGGAUUCGGCA
rnacentral:tRNA from 1 species